rnacentral:rRNA from 1 species
UACGGGGGGGAGCAAGCGUUGUUCGGAUUUACUGGGCGUAAAGAGCGUGUAGGCGGUCCGGUAAGUCCGCUGUGAAAGUCGGGGGGCUCAACCCUCGAAUGCCGGUGGAUACUGUCGGGCUAGAGUGCGGAAGAGGCGAGUGGAAUUCCUGGUGUAGCGGUGAAAUGCGCAGAUAUCAGGAGGAACACCUAUUGCGAAGGCAGCUCGCUGGGACGUAACUGACGCUGGAGACGCGAAAGCGUGGGGAGCAAACAGG